rnacentral:lncRNA from 1 species
CCCUGCACUGGAUCCUUGCUGCAGUAGGAUCCCAAGAAGUCUGCCGGGAAUUUGAAGGCUGUGUGUGCUAAGCUCCCUGCUCUCAGAGCGGUAGUUACUGCCUUUCUUGCUGCAGGCACAGGAGCAAUCACUGAUCUUGCCUGUGUGGAAUCUGAACCAAGACAUCCAGGAGACUGGCCGUUGGACUGUCUGUCCAUCAACAGUCACCUGCUAAGCACAUCACCCCAGGUCUCUGUGCUUAGCUCAGGUGUGCAGGGAUGGUGAAGACAACACAAAGCAGCCUGUGAGGUCACCAAACACAGAGACAGUUGAUGAGUAAGAAAGAGUGAAGAACUUCAGAUGACCCUGGGCUGAAGAGACACAGCAUAAAGGUGGUAGGCAUGAGUGUUGAGUUGAAGUGGAACUCCUGCCCAUCAUUGCAUUUUCAGGCCCCAAUGCCCACCAAGGGUCCUAUCAAGCCUUCCUGUGUCCGUCAUGGAAAUCAGGAGGGAAGAAGAUUUCCAGAUGGGAAAAGAAUCAAAUUAUACAUCCUUUG